rnacentral:lncRNA from 1 species
CCUUCUACGCGGCUCCUGAAACAGUUUAGAUGUUUACUUGCUUACACUGGUUUUUGGUUUCAGUUUCCUACCGCUGAAUAACUGCAGGAGUAAAGUUAGUGGUAAAAUAGGAGGCUGUCUAGGGACGUGAUUUCGGGGAAGAAGUCAGGCCUCGACGAGCCACCUUAAGAAAAGUGACUAGGCGGAGCACUCCCAGCUAAGAGCGGAAAGAUGAGAGAUAGAGGUGUGACUGAAGGCAGGGAUCCCCAGGCGCACGUGAGACCUCCGUAGAGGGGCGGGGCUUAGGGCUUUGCAGACCGGAGGCUUGUUCCGCGGAGGGUGGGGCGGUCUCUGCUUGCGCAUGCGCAAUGCCAGCCAGUGCCUGCGCGGCUUGCUCCAGCAAGGUAAAAUUUCCCACUGCGAGGCAGGCAGUGAUGCUGCGGCCGCUUCGCACUGUGGCUCCUGCCGACCGCCAGGCGCUGUUACAGUGGAUGCGAACUAACCGUAAGUGUAAGUGACCAGAGCUAGAGGCAGGUGGUGGGGGCAAGGAUAUGCUGCAGGCGCUGACUUUGAGGACUUAAGCGGGGUGAAGCCAACAGCCUUCCUUGGGAUCGUUGUGCUGGUCUCUGCUGUCUUGGGGGGUAGAUUGACCAGGGCUUUGAGUGCUCUAACGGAAAAGAGAGUUAGUUGCUCGCCACACGUAGACACCAAUUAACAAGAGCGAGCCCUAGUAUACAAGAAGAGGGAUUUUAUUUCUGAAGCCAGCCCGCUUCGUCUUUGGAGCAAAAAAGCGGGCAUUUUAUAAGGUACAAGAGGAAAUGAGCAAGAGGUCUCUGCUAGCUGGUGCCUUAUCUACCGGGUAGUUGAGUUGGUGCAUUUCUGAGCAGAAAUAAGUUGUAAAAGUGGCCAAGUGGGCAUGCUUUCUGCUUACCCUUCUGAGGCGACCGCCUGGCGGUGGGAGUUGCGUCUUGGAUCUCGUAGAUGAAUUUGCUCUGUAGAGAAUGGUCUGGUGAGGGGAGUUGAGAGGUUAUUUUGCAGUUCAAAAAGGGCUAAGUGGAAAGUGUAGUGGGGAGGGGAAAAGAGGGGAAAAAAUAAACUAUCUCUUGGAAAAUGGGGGUAAUCGGAUACAGUACCACUUGGAAUUAAUUGGGUGUGGGAAACCUGGUUCUGAGUGGUUUGUGAGUUUUCAGCAGACUUCGGACAAGCCUUUAGAGCUCCUUGUGCCUAACCCUUUUUCUGAAAGAAAAUAGAGGGUUAGCCCUCCUCCCCAUUACUCCCACAAACUUGUUAGAAUUGGUACGUUGCCACCUGAAAAAGCAUUUUGCAGGAGAGGUUUUAGGCUGUAGCGUUAGUAGGAAGUGUUAAACGAAAAACCUUAGCCAAGUUAAAUUUAACAUUUUGAGCAAAGAAUGAUUCACGAAUCGGGCAGGCUCAGAGAGAUUGCAGCGCAGCCAAGUGUUGAAGAUUUAUAGACAGAAAAAGGCUGCAGUGAGCUUUGAUCCCGCUGCUUCACUCCAGCCUGAGCGACGCAAGACCCUGUCUCUUUAAACACACACGUUAAAACUGAGGAAAUGUGGUAGCUAGAUCUAGUUACUGAAAAAUGGGAUAGAUGUAUUCUGGCAAAGUAAAGCCUGAUGAAAGCUCAAGAAAAUAGGAUAUUCUUAUGUUUGUUAACUAUAGCAAACUAUCCUAUGCCUGUAUGCGAGAGUGUGUGUGUGUGUGUGUGUGUGUGUGUGUGUGUGUGUGUGUAUGUGUGUGUAUUUAUUUUUUGAGACAGAGUUUCACUCUUGUUGCCCAGGCGGGGCUGCAGUGGCGCCAUCCAGCUCACUGCAACCUCCACCUCCCUGAUUCGAGCGAUUUUGAGUGGCUGGGAUUACAGGCGUCCGCCACCACGCCCGGCUCAUUUUUGUAUUUGUAGUAGAGACGGAGUUUCACCAUGUUUCCCAGGCUGGUCCCAAACUGCUGACCUCAGGUGAUCUUCCUGCCUGGGCCUCCCAGAGUGCUGGGAUUGCAGGCGUGAGCCACCACGCCUGGCCACUAUGCCUGUAUUUUGCUGAAUGGUGAUUUCCAUGGUUAUUUUUAUCCAAGCUCAUGACUUGAAAUGUCAUUGUUAGCUGAUGACUUACAAUUUUAGAUUUUUAACCUCGACCUCUUAAAAUUCUUUGUGAUGUUAGAGUCAGUAGGUUUAGAUAUUAUAAUUAACAUUAUUACACAUUUUAGGAGUCAUUUUAGAUAAGAUGUCAAACUGAAGAUAACAGGAACAUCUGCUAGUGAGAUUUGACCUGGAAAGUAUAGAAAACCAGAUACACAGCUUUGUUUAUUUAUUUAUUUAUUGAGACGGAUUCUCAGUCUGUCGCCAGGCUGGAGUGCAGUAGCACGAUCUUAGCUCAUUGCAACCUCUGCCUUCUGGAUUCAAGUGAUUCUCCUGCCCCUGGAGUAGCUGGGAUUACAGGCACGAACCACCGCGUCCAGCUAAUUUUGGUAUUUUUAGUAGAGACGGGGUUUUACUAUGUUGGCUAGGCUGGUCUUGAACUCCUGACCUCGUGAUCUGCCCUCCUCGUCCUCCCAAAGUGCUGGAUUACUGGCAUGAGCCACCGCACCCAGCCGGAUACAGCUUUAUUUCUAUAUACACAAAAUCAAGAUAAUAAUUUCCAUAAUAUGCUGAGUCUCCUGUCACUUCAUCUAAACCCUAUGUUGCACAUUUCUUUUUUGUUUUUGUUUUUGUUUUUGAGACGGAGUCUCGCUCUGUCCCCCAGGCUGGAGUGCAGUGGCGCAAUCUUGGCUCACUGCAAGCUCCGCCUCCCGGGUUCACGCCAUUCUCCUGCCUCAGCCUCCCGAGUAGCUGGGACUACAGGCGCCCGCCACCACGCCCGGCUAAUUUUUUGUAUUUUUAGUAGAGAGGGGGUUUCACCGUGUUGGCCAGGAUGGUCUGGAUCUGCUGACCUCGUGAUCUGCCCGCCUCCGCCUUCCAAAGUGCUGGGAUUACAGGCGUGAGCCACCGUGCUCGGCCGCACAUUUCAUUCUUCAUAUCCCAUUUGUCAAUAAAACAGCACCGAUUUACAUCUUUUUUUUCACAUUCCUCAGCACAAGGUCAUUUAUUCUAAAAGCACUGAGUGCCUAGAAAGAUGUCACAUACUGCCUAGAGCUGGCAAUUGUAAAAUUACUAAAACAUCUUUGCCCUCAAGAUUUGUUUUGUGGAGCCAUUUGCAAUCUAAAUUUUGAUUUUUUUUUUCCUGUGUUUUGUUUGUUUUUGAGAUAGGGUCUUUGUCACCCAGGCUGGAGUGCAGUGGCACCAUCAUAGCUCACUACAGCCUCACACUCUUGGCCUCAAGGGAUCCUCCCACCUCAACCUCCUAAAGUGUUCAAAUUACAGGCAUGAGCCACUGUACCCAGCCUCAAAUUUUAGAGAUAUCAGUUGAGACUCUAUUUUUCAAAAUCAGGAAGACUUGAAAGAACGUUUUGGAUAAUUUUGUAAACAAGAGCCAAUAUCACUGGCUAAAGAAUAUAUUUUUACUUUUUUUUUUUUUUUUUGAGUCAGAGUCUUGCUGUCGCCCAGGCUGGAGUGCAAUGGCACGAUCUUGGCUCACCGCAACCUCCGCUUCCUGGGUUCAAGCGAUUCUCCUGCCUCAGCCUCCUGAGUAGCUGAAACUACAGGCACGUGCCACCACGCCUGGCUAAUUUUUUUGUAUUUUUAGUGGAGACGGGGUUUCACCGUGUUAGCCAGGAUGGUCUCAAUCUCCUGACCUCGUGAUCUGCCCGCCUCGGUCUUCCGAAGUGCUGGGAUUACAAGCGUGAGCCACCGCGCUCGGCCCUAUUUUUACUUUUUUUAAAGGUACUUUUUGUUGUUUUUAAAGAAAGGGUCUCACUCUGUCACCCAGGCUGGAGGCUGGUGUGCCGUGACACUGUUAUAGCCCACUGCAGCUUUGACCUCCUGGGCUCAAGCAGUCCUCCUACCUCAGCAUCCUGAGUACCUGAGUAGCUGGACUAUGGUGCAAACCACCACACCCAGCUUUUUUAAAUUUCCUGUAGAGACAGUGUCUCACUAUGUUGCCCAGGCUGGUCUCAAACUCCUGGCCUCAAGAGAUACUCCCACCUUGGCUUCCCAAAGUGCUGGGAUUACAGGUGUGAGCCAUCGUACCUGAUCUAAAGGUACUUCUUGUGCCUCUCUUCAGCAGAUCCUGUAGUGAGGAAGCUCAAGCAAUUUGUUAAACAAUUUAAAAAAUAACUUGAGUUUCUGAAGAAUGUUUAUUAACCCGAAUAUUUUAAGAAGUGAGGCCGGGCAUGUGGCCCACUCCUGUAAUCGUAGCACUUUGGGAGGCCGAGGUAGGUGAAUUGCCUAAGCUCAGGAAUGUGAGACCAGCCUGGGCAACAUAGUGAGAACCUGUCUCAAAAAAAAAAAAAAAUUAAAAAUUAAAAAAAAUUUUAAGAAGUGAGAGUAUCACUGAACUUAAAAUAAAGGAGUAUGGUUAUUUAUAAUCCUUAAAAAAAGUAGUGUAUUAGUAUACCUUCUUUAUUGUGGUAAAAUAUGUAUAAAAUAAAAUUUACCAUUUUGACCUUUUUUUUUUUCCUUCAGACAGAGUCUUGCUCUUUGCCCAGGCUAGAGUGCAAUGGCACAAUCUCGGCUCACUGCAACCUCUGCCUCCCAGGUUCAAGCGAUUCUCCUGCCUCAACCUUCUGAGUAGCUGGGAUUACAGGCGUGCACCACACCUGGCUAAUUUUUGUAUUUUUAGUAGAGAUGGGGUUUCACCAUGUUGGCCAAGCUGGUCUCGAGCACCUGACCUCGUGAUCUGCCCACCUCAGCCUCCCAAAGUGCUGGGAUUACAGGCGUGAGCCACCACGGCCAGACCAUUUUGACCAUUUUUUACUGUAUAGUUAAGUGGCAUUAAAUAUGUUCACGUUGUUUUGUAAAUAUCACUAUUAAUCUCCAGAACUCUUGUCUUCCCAAACUGAAACUCUUAGUAUACCUUUUUAUGAAGUGGUCUAAGUACAGCACAAAAUAUUCUUCUAAACAACCAUUUUUCAUUUUCCUAAUUAGAUUUCCUUUUGCCUGGGGAAAUUUGUUUUUUUUUUUUUUUUUUUUUUGAGACGGAGUCUCGCUCUGUUGCCCAGGCUGGAGUGCAGCCUCCUGAGUAGCUGGGAUUACUGGCACAUGCCACCAAGUCCGGCUGAUUUUUAUAUUUUUAGUAGAAGUGGGGUUUCACCAUGUUGGCCAGGCUGGUCUCGAAUUCCUGACCUCAGGUGAUACGCCCAUCUCGGCCUCCCAAAGUGCUGGGAUUACAGGCCUGAGCCACUGUGCCUGGCCUCUCCUAUAAUUUUUAAAUAAAUUUUUAAACCUCUGGCAUUAAGUCAUUUAAAUAAUGUCUUGCAUGACAUUUGCCUAGACUUUUAAUUUAAAUUAUAACUCUUCUUGAAUUUUUAUACCAUUUGAUGGAAUAACAAAAGACAACGCUAGAUGUUGAGUAUGGCUUUGGUUUUGAGUUUCAUAAGAGUUUAUUAAAACUAGACAACAUGGCUGUGUGCAGUGGCUCACGCCUGUAAUCCUGGCACUUUGGGAGGCAAGGCAGGCAGAUCACCUGAGGUCAGGAGUUUGAGACCAGCCUGGCCAACAUGGUGAAACCCUGUCUCUACUAAAAAUACAAAAACAAAAAAUUAGCCAGGCAUGAUGGUGUGCACCUGUAGUCCCAGCUACUCGGGAGGCUGAGGCAAGAGAAUUGCUUGAACCCAGGAGGCUGAGGUUGCAGUGAGCCAAGAUUGCGCCACUGCACUCCAGCCUGGGCAACAGAGUGAGACGCCAUCUCAAAAAAAAAAAGGAAAAAAGAAACAUAAAACAAAGGUGGGAGCCUAGAUGUUUCUUUGUACAGCUUAGGCUAGGAAAUAAUGAGCACUAGUGUCAGACAGGUAAACCAAGUCUGAGGGGCAAUGCAGGCAAAAACAAGUUCCUCUCCCCCCAAAAAAAGAUAAAAAGCAGUUAAAAUACAGCAGUACUGGAACUCAUUGAUUCUGAUCCUCUGGCAGAGUAUCUUUUCCCUACUAUUUUCCUGAUGUGUAUGAAGUGGGCUCUUGACCUAGAUUUCAAAGUGUAGGAGACUGAUUGCAAUCCAUUAAGUGAGGGGAGUUGAGAACCAGAUCUGCAAAUGGGGUCCCCAAUAGGGCAAAUAGAAAAGAUACAAUGCAACAGCAGUCUAUUAACAAAUUCUACUCUGAAGGCUCUCAGUAUUUCCUGAAUAUGCAAAAUAGAAAUAAAUGAGGACAUUAAACCAAUAACUCAUACAAAGUCUCUCCUUUUCUUUUUUUUUUUUUUUUUUUUUUUUGAGAUGGAGUCUUACUCUGUCACCCAGGCUGGAGUGCAGUGGCGCGAUCUCAGCUCACUGCAAGCUCCACCUCCUGGGUUCACACCAUUCUCCUGCCUCAGCCUCCUGAGUAGCUGGGACUACAGGCGCCUGCCACCACACCCGGCUAAUUUUUUUGUAUUUUUUUAGUAGAGACGGUGUUUCACCGUGUUAGCCAGGAUGGUCUUGAUCUCCUGACCUGCUGAUCCGCCCCGCUCGGCCUCCCAAAGUGCUGGGAUUACAGGUGUGGGCCACCGUGUCUGGCCCAUGCCUGGCUAAUUUUUGUAUUUUUAGUAGAGACAGGGUUUCACCAUGUUGGUUGAUCUCCAGCUCCUGACCUCAGAUGAUCCGCUCACCUUGGCCUCCCAAAGUGCUGGGAUUACAGGCAUGAGCCACCGUGCUGGGCCUCUUCUUUUAGACAGUCUCGCUGUGUCACCCAGGCUGGAGUGCAGUGGUGUGAACACAGGGCUCACUGCAGCCUCAACUUCCCAAGUUCAAGUGAGCCUCCUCCCUCAGCCCAAGUAGCUGGGAUUAUAGGUGCGUGCCAUCAUACUUGGCCAAUUGUUGCAUUUUUUGGUAGUGACAGGGUUUCACCAUGUUGCCCAGGGUGAUCUCAUACUCCUGAGCUCAAUUAUUUCACCAACCUCAGCCUCCCAAAGCACUGGGAUUGCAGGUGUGAGCCACUGCGCCCAACUGCUCAUACAGUUUCUAUUAAGGAUCAAGGUACAGAGGGUAGAAAAUUAAGGUUUGCAGGAAGGAAAUUAACCAGAUAGUCAAGAAAUAUUUAAAUGCUUAAAAUAACAAGAGGUGACUAGACACUUACAGGAGAUUCUCUGUAUCCUUUGUUGUAAACACCUCAAUUGAACAUGUUGCUGAGCAGUAGCUACAGAGCUUUUAUAGGUUCUACUAAAUGAAUAUAAUUGUACUUUUCUCUCAAUCGCAUUUGUUGUCUAUUAAAAAUGGCCAGGAUAUGUGAAAAGAAUAAUACAUCAUGGGCUAGUGGGUUUAUCUCAGGAAUGUCCUGUUGGUUUAACAUUAGAAAAUCAAUGUAAUUCACCAAAUUUGCUAAAACAUACAUACAAUCAUACAUCAUGUAACAACAGGGACAGAUUCUGAGAAAUGCACUGUUAGGCCAUUUCAUUGUUGUGCGAGCAUCAUGGAAUGUACAGUACUUACUCAAACCUAGAUUGUAUAGCCUGUUGCACCUUCUACAAACCUGUACAGCAUGUUCCUGUAGCAACUGUAGGCAGUUGUAACACUAUGGUUAGUAUAUGUGUAUCUAAACAUAGAAAAGGUACAGUAAAAAUAUGACAUUGUAAUCUUAUGGGACCACCAUGGUGUGUGCAGUCUGUCAUUGAUGGAAGUGUCAUUAUGUAGUACGUGACCGUAUUUCAGAAUUGUUAAGAGAGUGGGUUUUGGCCAGGCGCGGUGGCUCAAGCCUUUAAUCCCAGCACUUUGGGAGGCUGAGAUGGGCGGAUCACCUGAGGUCAGUUCAAGACCAGCCUGACCAACAUGGAGAAACCCCAUCUCUACUAAAAAUACAAAAAAUUAGCCGGACGUGGUGGCACAUGCCUGUAAUCCCAGCUACUCAGGAGGCUGAGGCAGGAGAAUUGCUUGAACCUGAGAGGCGGAGGUUGUGGUGAGCUGAGAUGAUGCCAUUACACUCCAGCCUGGGCAAUGAGAGCGAAACUCUGCCUCAAAAAAAAAAAAAAAAAAAAGAGGGUGGGUUUUAAAUGUUCUCGACGCAGAGAAAUAAUAAAUUUGGCCAGGUGCAGUGGCUCAUGCCUGUAAUCUCAGCACUUUGGGAGGCUGAGGCAGACAGAUCACCUGAGGUCGGGAGUUCGAGACCAGCAUGGAGAAACCCCAUCUCUACUAAAAAAAAAAUACAAAAUUAGCCAGACGUGGUGGCGCAUGCCUGUAAUCCCAGCUACUCAGGAGGCUGAAACAGAAGAAUCGCUUGAACCCGGAAGGUGGAGGUUGCGGCAAGCCGAGAUCACGCCAAUGCACUCCAGCCUGGGCAACAAGAGCAAAACUCCCUCCCAAGAAAAACAAAGAAAUAAUAAAUAUGUGGUGAUGAAUAUGUUAGCCCGAUUUGAUCAUUCUACAAUGUAUACAUUCUACCCCAUAAAUAUAUACAAUUAUUAUUUGUCAAUUAAAAAUAAAAUUUUAAGAAAAUGGCUGAGUAGACUUGUGAUAUGGAGGGCCUUAAAAAUCUCAAGAUUUGAUACACUGAAAAAUAGAAGAUCAUUAAAAGUUUGUAAGGAGAGGGAGUGAUAUAAAAGUGAGGUUUAAGCGAGAUUCGUUUAGGUGAACAAGGUAUUUUAUAGUGGGGAGAAGCUGAUAUUGAGGAACUGGUUAUGAGUUUGUAAUGGUAUUCAGAGUGUGAGAUGAUGACUAUGGCUAUGAGAUAGUUGAAUUGAGAAUGAAGGGAAAAUAGGUUUCAAAAGAAAAAGUGGUGGGACUGAAUACCUGACUAGAUACAAAAAGUGAGGUUUGAUUCAUAGGCUGUCAGCUUUGGGGACUUUUCUUUCCUCAUAUAAUUAAUUAGAUGUAAGUAGGAAAUUUUAAAGAAUUGAUUUUGCCCUUUAGAGAAGCUCUUCUUUCUCCAUUCCCUUCCCCUCUACAUAUGUAAUUUGAGGAAAGCUCUACUCUCCUUUAGGCAGCUGAUUAGCACCUUCCUUUAAUCUUUUUCCAAGCAACGUAGUAUUACCACACAUUUGCUGUUUAUGUGUUAAGAGAUGUUCCACCUCACUAGUAAUUAAAUAAAUGCAAAUUAACCAGGUUUUUUAGUUUUUUUAUUUUUUCAGGUAGGAUCUCACUCUGGUUGCCCAGGCUGGAGUGCAAUCGUGUGAUCACGGCUCGCUGCAGCCUUGACCUCCCAGGCUCAGGUGAUCCUCCCACCUCAGCCUCCCAGGUAGCUGGGACUAUAGGCAUACACCACCAUGCCCAGCUACUUUUUAAUUUUUUUUGUAGAGAUGGGGUUUCACCAUGUUGCCCAGGCUGGUCUCAAACCCCUGGACUCAAGCGAUCUGCCUGCCUUGGCCUCCCAAAGUGCUGGGAUUACAGGUGUGAGCCACCGUACCCUGCCCAAGUUUGUUUUUAUGGUAAUAUUCAGUGUUGUGAGGGUUUGAUGAGACUUGUGUUCUUUUUUUUUAUUUUAUUUUUUAUUUUUUGAGAGGGAGUCUCAUGCCCAGGCUGGAGUGCAGUGGAGCCAUCUCGGCUCGCUGCAACCUCCACCUCCCGGGUUCAAGGAAUUCUUCUGCCUCAUCCUCCCAAGUAACUAAGAUUACAGGCAUGUACCACCAUGUCCAGCUAAUUUUUGUAAUUUAGUAGAGACAGGAUUUUACCAUGUUGGCCAGACUGGUCUCGAACUCCUGACCUCAAGUGCUCUGCCUGCCUCAGCCUCCCAAAGUGCUGGGAUUACAGGCGUGAGCCACCACGCCCAGCCAGAGACUCGUGUUCUUUUUUAUUUCUGUUAAACUGAUGUCCUUCAAGAAAGAAAGAAAUGUGCAAAUGUGUAGGAAAAGCCUUUUCAAUGUUGAAGCACUUCUAAGAAUUUAUAGUAAGGAAAUAAUCAGAGAUGCAAAGAGAUGAUGUUUGUCAAAAUGUUUGUUGCAGUAUUCUCAGUUUUACACAAUUAUAACUAUAUUUAACUGUCUCAGGGUAGCAGUGAAUGGUUAAAUAGAGACUACACAGCCUUCAAAAGUAAAGUUUCCACUAAUUUUAAUUUUAAUGACAUAGCGUAAAUGCUUAGGAUAUGCAGUGGGUUCUCCAUGUCCACAGAUUGUACAUUUGUACAUUGAUCCAGCAGAGAAUUGAAAGUAUUUCAAAAAUAAUAAUAUACUAUUUUUAGAAAUAGAGCAUAACAACUUUUUUUUGAGAUGGAGUUUUGCUCUUGUCGCCCAGGCUGGAGUGCAGUGGCACAAAUCUCGGCUCACUGCAACCUCUGCCUCCCGGGUUCUAGCGAUUCUCCUGCCUCAGCUUCCCAAGUAGCUGGGACUACAGGUGCCUGCCACCACACCUGGCUAGUUUUUGUAUUUUUUUAGUAGAGACGGAGUUUCACCAUGUUGGCCAGGCUGGUCUCGAGCUCCUAAUCUCGGGUGAUCCACCCGCCUCGGCCUCCCAAAGUCCUAGGAUUACAGGCAUGAGCCACUGUACCUGGCUGCAUGUCUGCUACUCUUGAAUUGACAUCGCUACUUAUGUAUCUAAAAUGGCAGGGUAUAGAUGGUGCCACUAGUCUCUCAUCAGGAUACUUUCCAUUAAGGUUAGUGGAACUGCGCAACCAUUCAUAGCUCAGAUUCAUCAGUCACAAAAGAACCCCAGAAGAUGAUGGUGUUCAUAAAAAACAAUUUUCUUUAGUAUUUUGGUUCUGCUUUAAUCUUAAUCCCUAGGGUAAUAGAUGAGAUACUCAAGUUCAGAGAGGUGUGGAAGUCAUUUGACAGAGCAGUCGGGCCCGAGUGGUUUCCUUAUGCCAAGGCAGCACGUCAUCCUUUUUCCUCAAAAAUAACAGCAACAACAUUCCUGCACCUUGCCUCUGCAGCAUUAUAUCGUACUGCAGAAACCAGCUCAACUAUGCAAAACUACCACCAGGACUGGCCGACACCAGGAGGGAUUCCAGAGACCACACUGCAGGGAGCAUACAGAAAGAAAAUUAAGAGAUCAGAUGCAGCAGCAGCCGGAACCCACAGUUCACCUUGGUGCAUUCCUUUAUGAUGAAGACUUAUUGAUUCAUUAUAUGAGAAAGGAAAAAUGAGCAGAAACUACUGUAUGAUGUGCAGCUCACACCAGACAGCAACUUUAGGGUUAUCUUUCCAGUUCAGCAGUGCAACUCUAUGGAGUAGAAUUGAAAGGAGACUUUUCGCCAAUUGCAGGAAAUGGUCAUAAAAAAAUACCUGCUCACUGACAGAAUAAAGACACAUAGCCCUCCUGCACAAAUAAGUCAAGUUAUCCUGUGCCCAACUUAUCACCAGACACUUGUAAGUUAGCUCACCACAACCUUGGCAUUAUCAGUACUGCACAAAGCCCUCUUCAGCAUGCAGCAGAAACACCAUUCUAUAAAAACUCACAGCAAGCCCUUGUCUCUUUGCAGUCAGCAUUUUUCUUGCUGACCUGCCUGUUUCACCCUUGCAGUGUAUUUUCAUACUCUAGUAAAUCUGCCUUUUUUUUUUUUUUUUUCCCCCGAGAUGGAGUUUUGCUCUUGCUUUCCAGGCUGGAGUGCAAUGGCAUGAUCUCGGCUCACUGCAACCUUCACCUCCUGGGUUCAAGCGAUUCUCCUGCCUCAGCCUCCCAAGUAGCUGGAAUUACAGAUGCCCGCCACCAUGCCUGGCUAAUUUUUUUGUAUUUUUAGUAGAGAUGGGCUUUCACCAUGUUAGUCAGGCUGAUCUGGAACUCCUGACCUUGAGUGAUCCACCUGCCUCGGUCUCCCAAAGUGCUGGGAUCACUGGCGUGAGCCACCAGGCCUGGCCAUAAAUCUGCCUCUUUUUUUUUUGAGACAGAGUUUCACUCUUGUUGCCCACGCUGAAGUGCAAUGGCGCGAUCUCGGCUCACUGCAACCUCUGCCUCCCAGGUUCAAGCAAUUCUCCUACCUUGGCCUCCUAAGUAGCUGUGUCACAGGCAUGCACCACCGCACCCAGCUAAUUUUGUGGUUUUAGCAGAGAUGGGGUUUCAUCACGUUGACCAGGCUGGUCUUGAACUCCUGACCUUGGGUGAUCACCUGCCUUAGCCUCCCAGAGUGCUGGGAUUACAGGCGUGAGCCCCCAUGCCCGGCUAAAUCUGCCUUUCUUUGCCUACAACUGUCUAAAUUCUUACCACCGGGGCCACCAGCCCAGAUAGACACUGAUCAUCUGCAACACCCGUCUGAUGGACAAGAUUGCCCUGCAGAGUUCAAGUCUGAGAGUUCCCCUAGAGCUAAACUCUCCUAUCAAAGUAAGUCGAGUCUAGAGGCAUGGCAGUCCCUGGCUGUGCUCCAUUACAGAAUGCUCCUGCAGCAAACCCUCUGGUCUCCACAUCAGGUGGCUUGCUGCCCUUACCACUCCUCUGAGCAUCUCUCUGCCAACUCAAGUGUCCAGAGUCUCUCUCUGUUGCCCAGGCUGGAGUGCAGUGGCACGAUCACAGCUCAUGGCAACCUCCACCUCCCGGGUUCAAGUAAUUCUUCUGCCUCAGCCUCCCAAGUAGCUGGGAUUACAGGUGAACGCUACCACGCCCAGCUAAUUUUUGUAUUUUUAGUAGAGACGGGGUUUUACCAUGUUGGCCAGGCUGGUCUCAAACUCCUGACCUCAAGUGAUCUGCCCACCUCAGACUCCCAAAGUGGUAGGAUUACAGGCAUGAGCCACCACGCCUGGCCUCUCCUGUAUUUUUUAAAUAAAUUGUUUUGUUUACUUUUUUGGAUAGGUGAUACAUUUAAGUGAUUUUUUGUUUGUUUGUUUUUUGUUUUUGAGAUGGAGUUUCGGUCUUGUUGCCAGGCUAGAGUGCAAUGGCACUAUCUUGGCUCAUUGCAACCCCGCCUCCGGGUUCAAGCGAUUCCCCUGCGUCAGCCUCCCGAGUAGCUGGGACUACAGGCAUGUGCCACCAUGCCCAGCUAAUUUUGUAUUUUUAGUAGAGAUGGGGUUUCUCCAUGUUGGUUAGGCUGGUCUCAAACUCCCGACCUCAGGUGAUCCACCCGCCUCGGCCUCCCAAAGUGCUGGGAUUAAAGGUGUGAGCCACUGCGCCUGACCUAAGUGAUUUUUAGAUGAAAAGCCAAACAAGACCAGUUACCAUAUAUUAACAUUUUAUAAUUUUUUAUAACCCAUUUAAAAAAUGUUUUUAUGGUCCUAUUUGAUUCUGUGAAUUAGAACAUAUUCUUUCAUUUUAUUUAUGAAGAAACUGAUUACCUAACAGUAUAAACCUAGUUGGUGAUGGAGCCAGAAUUUGAACUUAGGUCCUUUGACUCUUACAACUAGUGUUAUAAUUAUAGUGGGAAAAACUGAACUGGAAGUCAAAGAGCAUAAUUAUGACUAAGUGAAUAAUUGCUUCUAAAAGAAAUAUUGACAGGUUCAUGGGUUUUACUAGAUAAUAAGCAUCUUAUAUAAUACUACUCCCAUAAGUGGUAGUAUUAUACUGCUUUUUCUCCAAUUUUUAGAAGUGUUAACCUGUCAUGUUGUUUCACAACAUCAGUGAACCAAUAGAUACUUCUUAUGUGCUUGUAUGCUAUUGUAUCCUUGUUCUUGUCUGUGAAUUCAUUCUUCUUUAGGUGCUUCAUGCAGACAUCUGUACACCAGAUUUACUUCUGCAAAAUGCUGAUGCUAUGAAUAAUGCUUUUGAAUAUUAAUAAGGCAAAACAGACCAGGUAUGUUAUUUUAUCAAGCAAGAAAUUUGUCAUUAAAAUAUAUCCAGCAAGAUAUGAAAAGAGAUUAGUAGGUGAGAAAUGUUUUCAUGUUAAACUUUUUAAAAACUACUCCUCAAACAACUAUAAGGAGUAUAAUCUCCUUAUAGAGUAUAAGGAAAAGUGCUGUUUAUAAAAUGAAAACAAACCUUGUCUGAUUUUGGAAAACAUAGUAUCUAAUUUUUUUUUUUUUUUUUUGGAGACAGGGUCUCGCUCUCUCACACAGGCUGGAGUGCAGUGGUGCGAUCUUAGCUCACUGCAACCGCCACAUCCCAGGUUCAAGCAAUUCUCCCACCUCAGCCUUCCAACUAGCUGGGAUUACAGGUGUGUGCCACCAUGGCUGGCUAAUUUUUUGUAUUUUUAGUAGAGACAGUGUUCCACCAUGUUGGCCAGGCUGGUCUGGAACUCCUGACCUCAAGUGAUCUGCCCACCUCAGCCUCCCAAAGUGCUGGGAUUACAGGCAUGAGCUGUGACACCCAGCGUGUCUAAUUUUUGACAGAUAAAAUGAUUUCAUGAUCCAACAUUUCCUUAGCAGUGAGGGAUACAAUAAAAUACCAAUUCUCAGUGGGCCUUUAUACUUCUUUUUUUUUUUUUUUUGAGAGGAGUCUUGCUCUGUCGCCCAGGCAGGAGUGCAACAGUGCAAUCUUGGCUCACUGCAGCCUCCGCCUGCCAGGUUCCAGCGAUUCUCCUGCCUCAGCCUCCUGGGUAUGGGUAACUGGGAUUACAGGCACGUGCCACCAUGUUCGACUAAUUUUUGUAUUUUUAGUAGAGAUGGGAUUUCACCAUGUUGGCUAGCCUGGUCUCAAACUCCUAACCUCAAGUGAUCCGUCUGCCUCAGUCUCCCAAAGUGCUAGGAUGUGGGUGUGAGCCACUGCGCCCAGCCUAUACUUGUUCUUUUCUGCCUCAGUUUUUUUUCUGUGAAAUAACAUCAUAUUGCUAUCCUAUUACAAACUAAUGGGAAUUAACUAAGGCUUAUAAAUGAAUAUUAAAUGGAUAUAAGAAUAUUGGCUGGGCACAGUGGCUCACACCUAAAUUCCAGCACUUUGGGACGCUGAGAUGGGUGGAUCACAGGGUCAGGAGUUCGAGACCAGUCUGGCCAAUAUGGUGAAACUCCAUCUCUACUAAAAGUACAAAAAUUAGCCUGGCGUGGUGGUGGGUGCCUGUAGUCCCAGGUACUCAGAAGGCUGAGGCAGGAGAAUCGCUUGAACCCAGGAGGCGGAGGUUGCAGUGAGCCAAGAUGGUGCCACUGCACUCCAGCAUGCAUGACAGAGUGAGACUCCACCUCAGAAAAAAAAAACAAGAAUAUUGCCGGGUGUGGUGGCUCACUCCUGUAAUCCCAGCACUUUGGGAGGCCGAGGCGGGCAGAUCACGAGGUCAGGAGAUUGAGACCAUCCUGGCUAACACAGUGAAACCCCGUCUCUACUAAAAAUGCAAAAAAAAAAAAAAAAAAAUUAGCUGGGUGUGGUAGCGGGCACCUGAAGUCCCAGCUACUCAGGAGGCUGAGGCAGGAGAAUGGUGUGAACCCAAGAGGCAGAGCUUGCAGUGAGCCGAGAUCGCACCACUGCACUCCAGCCUGGGUGACAGAGCGAGACUCCGUCUCAAAAAAAAAAAAAAAACAAGACUAUUAACCUGGAAAACAGAUUAAUUAUUGAACUUUAAAAAUGUUCUUAAGGUUCCUUGAGUUUAUUCUGCUAUUCAAAUAGAAAAACUAGCAAAUCUAUGAUCACUUUUCUGACUUCUUGCCACAAUUGGUGCAUCAGUACCUAUAGGAUCCUCUAAUUAGAAAAUUGCUAUAGUCUGUAGUCUGAAACCCUGAAAUCAGGCUUGCUGAUUUCUUACUUUUUAUAUGGCAUAUAUGGAUUCUAGACACAAGAAAGUUCCUUUCAAUAUAUUUGAAAGAGACACUAAUAUUUUUGGAUUGGUGCAUCAUUAAGGUUUUCAUCACAGAGAAAUUAAAAUGCAGGAGUGCAGUGGUGUGAUCUUGGCUCACUGCAACCUCCGCCUCCCAGAUUCAAGCAAUUCUCCUGCCUUAGCCUUCCGAGUAACUGGAAUUACAGGCGUGCCGCCACCAUGCCUGGCUAAUUUUUGUAUUUUUAGUAGAGAUGGGGUUUCACCAUGUUGGCCAGACUGGUCUCGAACUCCUGACUUCAGGGGUCUCACUCUGUCCUGACUUCAGGUGAUCCACCUGCCUCGGCCCCCAAAUCAAGGAAGCACUUCAUGGCUUCUCUGGCAUAUCUAACUUGCCAGCAUCACUACUCUGUGCUUUGGGGCCAUUCUUAAGUAAAAUAAGCAUUACUUGAAAAGCAAACAAAAAAAUGAAAAUUAAAAAAAAAGAAAAUUUAAAAAACAAACAAAAAAGAACGAGAAAUAAGCCUUACUUUACCACCAGCCCUUCGAUAAGGAGACAAAGGGCUUGAUCUGACAAAGAAGACGCUACUAAGUGACUAACAGGUGGGUAGUGGAGACAAGUGUGGAUCCCCUGGAUAAAGAGAUAAUUCACUUCUGGGAUACAGAGCAAGAUGGCGUGAAAUUUCAUCAUGCUACUCAGAAUGGCAUGCAGUUUAAAACCUAGGAGUUUUUUAUUUCCGGAAAUUUUUGUGUGCUGUUUUCAGAUUACAGUUGACCACAGGUAAUUGAAACUACGGAAAGAAAAACCAUGGCUAAGUGGAGAUCACUUUAUAUGCUUAACACAUUUUUUAAUAAAUAUGAGGUAAAUAUUCAAACUGUAGGAUACCAAGGAGACAUUACUACCACCACCUUCAAUAUUCUGUAUGUGGAGUUAUUCAACUUAGUUUUUAAAUGUCUAUAUAUUUGCCUAGAGACAACUAACUGUCAUUUUAUUUUAUUUAUUUUUAUUAUUAUUAUUUGUGCGUGUGGCAUGAGGUCUCCCUCUGUAGCCCAUGCUGGAGUGCAGUAGCGUAAUCUUGGCUCACUGUAACCUCAACCUCCCGGGUACAAGCGAUUCUCCUGCCUCAGCCUCCUUAGUAGCUGGGACUACAGGUGUGCGUCACCACACCCAGCUGAUUUUUUUGGAUUUUUAGUAGAGAUGGGGUUUCACCAUGUUGGCCAGGCUGGUCUCGAACUCCUGACCAGGAGUGUGGUGGUGCAUGCCUGUAGUCCCAGCUACGUGGGAGGCUGAGGUGGGAGGAUCACUUAAGCCCAGGAAGCUGCACCACUGCACUCCAACCUGGGCAAUAGAGUGAGACUGUGUCUCAAAAAAAAAAAAAAAAAUGCUAGUUUCUUACUUUAGGAGAAUUUUUAGUGUUGGAAGCUUUAUACUUCCCACAAUUUGUCAUUCCUUAGCUUGACCUCAACCUCCCUCUCUAUCCUCCAGUGUUAUGCAAUGCAUCUCAGAAGGUUUGUGGGGAAGGAGAAAAAUAGAGUUAAGAUAGUUUCAUAUUUCAUCAGCCAAAUGAAAAAUACACAAAACAAAACCAGUUUUUCAUAUAGCAUUGCUGGUACUCAAACAAAAACAUUAAGAUUACAGUAAAUGUCCUAAUUAUUUAGCUCUUUACCAUUUUACAUUGAUUUGAUAAAAAUUAAAUUGAUAGAAAAUAAACGUAUUAGAACUCUGGAACUUUUUUCAGCCAAUGAUUUUUUUAAAUUAUUAAACUUCAUACAGGGCUGGGUGCAGUGGUUCAUGGCUGUAAUCCCAGCACUUUGGAAAGCCAAGACAGAUCACUUGGGGCCAGGAGGUCAAGACCUGUGUGGCCAACAUAGUGAAACCCCAUCUCUACUAAAAAUACAAAAAAUUAGCUGGGCAUAGUGGCACGCACCUGUAGACCCAGCUACUCAGGAGGCUGAAGCGCGAGAAUCGCUUGAACCCGGGAGGCAGAGGUUGCAGUGAGCUGAGAUUACGCCACUGCACUCCAGCCUGGGUGACAGACUGAAACUCUGUCUCAAAAAAAAAAAAAAACCGGCCAGGCGCUGUGACUCACACCUGUAAUCCCAGCACUUUGGGAGGCCGAGGCGGGCGGAUCCACGGGGUCAGGAGAUCGAGACCAUCCUGGCUAACACGGUGAAACCCCGUCUCUACUAAAAAUACAGAAAAUUAGCCGGGCGUGGUGGCGGGCGCCUGUAGUCCCAGCUACUCGGGAGGCUGAGGCAGGAGAAUGGCAUGAACCCAGGAGGUGGAGCUUGCAGUGAGCUGAGAUCACGCCACUGCACUCCAGCCUGGGCGAAAGUGCAAGACUCUGUCUCAAAAAAAAAAAUAAAAACAAAAGUAAAUAAAAUAAAAAUAAUUUUGAAAAUUAACUUCAUACAGCUUCUUCAUUUUUUUUGUCACCUUAUUCCCUCACCCAACCUCCAGUGCUGUCUAGUAAUGCAGAUGCCCCAGAUGUCCCAGCCUCGUCCCAUUUUGGGAUACAACAGCUUAAACAUUCCAAAAUUUGAUGAAAACUUCAUCAUUAGUAGACAUUAUAAGGUAUUUUUUGUUGAUGGUGAAUUCCACAGCCAUUCAACUAUUAAUUGCACUAAUUUUACAAACAUGUACUAAGCGUCCACUGUUUAUCCAGCACUCUGCCAGACUCUGGAUACAAACAUGGAACACUUGGGUCCACUCUGAAGGAACUCACAGUCUAAGGAGAGAGGCGCUUCUUUCAUUUAGAUACAGGGUAAGGAAAGAUGUCGCUGGUAGAGGGAAUGCCAUAUGCGGGGGCAUAGAGGAGAGUAUUUUAGUAUGACCAGGGUCCAGGCUAGGAUUACAUGAGGUUGGUAAAGUAGACGAAUGCCAGAUCGGGAAGGACAUGGUGUCGCAAACAAAGGAGAUCACAUUGUAUUCUGAAAGGGGGAGCCAUUCCAAGAUGCAUUAGCAUACUGAUACAGUCAGAAUAAAAGUAUAGAAACGUAAUUCUGAAGACGUUAUUUAGGAUGGAUUAAAAGGGUAAAACAUGGUCGGGUGUGGUGGCUCACACCUGUAAUCCCAGCACUUUGGGAGGCCAAGGAGUGCAGAUCACAAGGUCAGGAGUUCUGGACCAGCCGGGCAUGGUGACGGGCACCUGUAAUCUCAGCUACUCAGGAGGCUUGAGGCAGAAGAAUUGCUUGAACCCGGGAGGCAGAGGUUGCAGUGAGCCGAGAUCGUGCCAUUGCACUCCAGCCUGUGCGACAAGAGCAAGAUUCUGUCUCAAAAACAAAAUAAAAGGGCAAAACAACAGCAAAGAAAAUAAGUCAGCCACUGGAGUGGUCCAGCAAACCCAGUAGUAAUGAACUAAGGCAUCAACACUGGGAAUGAAGGGAGAAAGAAGGAAUCAUGAAGUAUUUAGGAGGGCCUAGCACUUUGUGGGGAGUAGAUAAAUCUGGAAGUGAGUAGUUUUAAUAAUUACAUUUACGAAGAGAUUUGAGAAAAUCAGUGAGGCAUUACAGCAAAUCCAUUAAGUCAAAAGAUAAUAGCAAGAAAUCUGCUGCAUGGAAUCAUACGCUAACAAAAUAAAAAAUAGUUAAAUACUAAGUACAUGGCCAAAAAAGAAUGCCAGGAGGCAAACAUUAAAACAAUAGCUUGAAUGGGAACCUGCCAAGGGUGAAACACACAUAUAAGAUACACAAGGAUAACUGCAUUGAAGACAAGGAUUAGGGUAGGGCAUAAAAUAAAGUUCUAAACAUUGUAAAUAAGAAUCUAGCUGGGGAGCUGGGUGCUGUGGCUCAUGCUUGUAAUCCCAGCACUUUGGGAGGCCAAAGUGGGUGGAUCACCUAAGGUUGGGAGUUCUAGACCAGCCUGACUGACACGAAGAAACCCCGUCUCUAAUAAAAAUACAAAAUUAGCCAGGUGUGAUGGCACAUGGAUGUAAUCCCAGCUACUCAGGAAGCGGAGGCAGGGGAAUCACUUGAACCCAGAAGGCAGAGGUUGCAGUGAGCCGAGAUCGUGCCAUUGCACGCCAGCCUGGGCAACAAGAGCGAAAGUCCAUCUCAAAAAAAAGAAUCUUGCUGCGGAAAAGAAGACAAACAUAAGGGUUUCACUGGCGACAUGCUAGUAUAGUAAAAGAUACGUACUUUAUUUUUAAUUUUUUUUUGAGACAGGGUCUAGCUUUGUCUCCUAGGAUGGAGUGCAGUGGUGUGAUCUCAACUCAUUGCAGCCUCAACCUCCCAGGCCCAAGCAGUCUUUCCACCUCAGUCCCCCAAGUACUUGGGACUACAGCUGUGCACCACCAUGCCUGGCUAAUUUUUUGUAGGGACAGGGUUUCACCAUAUUGCCCAGGCUGGUCUCAAACUCCUGAGCUCCAGCAAUCCACCUGCCUUUGCCUCCCAAAAUGCUGAGAUUACAAGUAUGAGGCACCACUCCUGGCUUAAUUUUUUUUUUUUUUUUUUUAAGACAUGGUCUCACUCUGUCACCCAGGCUGGAGUGCAGUGGCAUGAUCUCAGCUCACUGUGGCCUCAACCUUUCAGGCUCAGGUGACCCUCCCACCUCAGCCUCCCAAGUAGUUGGGACUAUAGGCACCCACCACCACACCCAGCUAAUUUUUGUAUUUUUUGGUAGAGACGGUUUCACCAUGUUUUCCAGGCUCAUCUCAAGCUCCUGGGUUCAAAUGAUCCACCUGCCUCAGCUUCCUAAAGUGCUGGGAUUACAGGCCUAAGCCACCAUGCCUGCCCAGAUACCUACUUUAAAAGUAACUUUUUCCUUAGAUACAGUGUUGUUUAGGCAGGCCUUGGAACCUGGGGUAUUGCUUAAUGCUUUAAGCAACUCAACCACUUUAGGCUGCCGUUUUAUCCACUUGUAAAAUAAGUUAAUUCAUCUUUUCUGACCAUGAAUUUCACAAGAGUAUUAUGUACAUCGAGAAUGAUAAACAGUCCUUCAGACACACAUAUGGAAAUGCACAUAAAUAGAAUACAAAUUGGAACUGAUCUGUUUAUCAGAAGAAAUGUCCCAACCACAUAGAUAGAUAAAGUAAUCGUAUUUGUAUCAAGGAUCCUCAUUUCGAAGAGCAUUCAACUUCAAGUUGCUCUUUGCCAACAACAAUGAUCAUCCAGCUGUUAAGUUCUCUAACACUAAUUGGUAUUCUCAAAUUUCUACUUUCUUUGAGGGAGAUGAGGAAAAAAUGCCCAAUAUAACCUUUUAGGAAUAAAUUAAAUAUAGAUUAUGGAUUAGUGAAAAUGUAAUUACGUAGACUGAGGAGAAAAGAAAGUAUGUGGCCAGGUGCGGUGGCUCAUGCAUGUAAUCCCAGCACUUUGGAAGACCGAGGCAGGCAGAUCACCUGAGGGCAGGAGUUCGAGACCAGCCUGGCCAACAUGGUAAAACCCAGUCUCUACUAAAAAUACAAAAAAUUAGCUGGGCAUAGUGGCACAUACCUGCAGUCCCAGCUACUUGGGAGCCUGAGGCAGGAGAAUUGCUUGAAACCAGGGGGCGGAUGUUACAGUGAGGCAAGAUUGCACCAUUGCACUCCAGCCUGGGCGACAAGAGUGAAACUCCGUCUCAAAAAAAAAAAAAGUGUGUAAAAUCUCAACUGUACCUAAUGACAGAAAAAGGUCAUAAGCUAUGAAAUCAUCUCAAGCAGGCUCUGUUAAAAUGCUUCCAUACUGACUGGGCGCAGUGGCUCACGCCUGUAAUCCCAGCACUUUGGGAGGCCAAGGCGGGCAGAUCACCUGAGGUCAAGAGUUCAAGACCAACCUGGCCAACAUGGCAAAACUCCAUCUCUACUAAAAAUACAAAAAUUAGCUGGGUGUGGUUGUUGGCAUCUGUAAUCCUAGCUACUCGGUAGGCUGAAACAGGAAAAUCAUUUGAACCUGGGAGGUGGAAUUUGCAGUGAGCCCAGAUGGUGCCACUGUAUACUCUAGCCUGGGCAACAGAGCAAGACUUCAUCUAAAAAAAAAAACAAAAAAAAAACAGCUUCCAUACUGACCUAAAUCACAGACUCCUAUACCAAGAGUCAUCAAGGAAGAUUUUCAGAGAAUAAAAAACACAUAAAAUUUGCUGACACAUAUUUUAUACGAGAUGCAUUAGCUGUUGACCCUAACAACCCAAUGAUGCAGGAGCUAUUAACCCUAUUUAACAGAUGAGUAAACUGAGUUUUAGUGAAGGUAAGAACCUUUCCAAAAGUUACACAGUUAGUAAAUGGCAGAGCCAGGAUUCAACCCUAUUCCUAUCUGAACUCCAAAGACCAUGCCCUUUUGUUAUGCUGCAUCUGUAUUUUAAAUUUCAUAACCUACUAUUAACCACAGAAAUCAAUAGAUUCUAAUAGAAAAUGUGUUUUGCCUUAUUUUGGUUUUGCAUUCCCUCAUAAUGUGAGAGUUGCUUGAGUAAUUGUCAAAUGUAUGAGAUGAUUUAUAAAUCUGCUGGGUGCUUAAGCCAAGAGGAAGAAAUAAAGGUUCAAAAUUUGUGACUUUUGUGAAUAAAAGUACAACGUAGCUUUAAUACUGUAAAUGGUAUCAUCCAAUACUAUGAACCUAAUAACCUAAAUGGGAAUUAUUGUUGUAAUUUUUUUUACAUUGAAAGUUACCUAUAUAGAAAGUGGGUUCAUUUUCUUCUUUUUUUUUAUUUACUGAAUUGUUCAUACAUUAAUAAAAUAAUACCUGAACUUUUCAAAAGCAACUGAAGAAAUAGAAAAUAUGACAAGUUUUUGGCUUGAAAACAGGCAGGAAAGGACAACUCAUAGAGACUAUACGUGGUUUGCUUAUAACGACUCAGUUUUUGGACUCAAUCUUUUGUUUAAUUUCCUUGCCAAACAAACAUUAUUUUCCUUGUCAAACAAGCAUUAAUAUUUAAGUCAAACUGCAAGGUGCAAAAAUAAGAGCCAUGCUUUCUGUAUGAAUUCAGAAAAGCACAGACUUUUCAAGUUUGAAAAUGUCUCAGAAUAAACUUGUCCAACUCCAUUUUCUUACAGAAAAAAAAAAUUGUAUUUGAAGCUUCUUUGCAAAGAAAUGAGUGAAUGCAACUUCCUUAAAACCUACCUGCAUUCUGACAACAUGGGACCCACAAUUUAUGGGAUAAAAUGAAGCUUGAAAAUUACUUUAGGUUGAUGUUGAGAAGUUGGAACCCUCCUACAUUGCUGGUAGGAUUUUAAAAUGGUGCAAAUGCUUUGGAAAACAGUUUGAUAGUUACUCAAAAUGCUAAAGAUGGAGAUACUAUAUGACCUAGCAGUCUCACUCCUAGAUACAUAGUCAAGAGAAAGGAAAACAUGUCCAACACAAAAACUUGUACAUAAACAUUGACAGCACAUUAUGUAUAAAAGCCAGAAAGUGAGGGGAGGUGGGGACAAAUGUCUCUCAGCUGAUGAAUGGAUAAAUAAAAUGUGGUAUAUCCAUACGAUGAAAUUUUACGUAGGUUAAAAGAUAGUAAUAAUACAUGCUACAACCCAAUGAUCUUGAAAACAUUGUGUGAAGAAGCCAGUCACAAAAGAUCAUAUUAUAUGAUUCAGUGUAUAUGAAAUGUUUAGAAUACACAAACCUAUAGAGACAGUACGUUACUGGUUGCUUAGAGCUGGGAUGGGGGUAAAAGAAGAUGGGAAGUGAUUACUAAUAGGUACAGGGUUUCUUUCUGAGGUGAUAAAAAUAGUUUAAAAAUAGAUUUUGGUGAUAGUUGCACAAUUGAUGAUACUAAAAACCACUGAAUUUACAUUUUAUUUAUUUUGAUACAGAGUCUCUCUCUGUCACCCAUGCUGGAGUACAGUGGUGUGAUCAUGGCUUAUUGCAACCUUGACCUUCCAGGCUUAGGUGAUCCUCCCACCUCAGCCUCCUGAGUCACUGGGACAUAGAUGUGCAUCCCCACACCCAGCUAAUUAUUGUAUCUUUUGUAGAGAUGUGGUUUCACCAUGUUGCCUAGGUCGCUUGAACUCCUGGGCUCAAGCAGUCCACCCACCUCAGCCUUCCGGAGUGCUGGGAUUACAGGUGUGAGCCACACUGUUCUGUCAUUCUUGCCUUUGUUCCUCAGCACUUGUAGCUUGUUUCUCUGGCUGUUUUGUUUUGUUUUGUUUUGUUUUGUUUUGUUUUGUUUUUUUGAGACAGGGUCUCGCUCUGUCGCCCAGGCUGGAGUGUGGUCGUGUGAUCAUGGCUCACUGCAGCCUCGACGUUCUAGGGUUAGGUUGUCCUCCCACCUCAGCCUCCCCAGUAUCUGUAAUUGCAGACAUGCAGCAACACACCCAGCUAAUUUUUAUAUUUUAUUUAUUUAUUUUUCUUAGAGAUAGGUUUUUGCCAUGUUGCCCAGGCUGGUCUCGAAUUCCUGGGCUCAAGCAAUCCUACUGCCUUUGCCUCACAAAGUGCUGGGAUUGUAGGCAUGAGCCACCACACCUGGCCCUGUUUUUAAUAUAUUCUUUUUGUGACUUUCAUUGUGCAUUGGUGUGUUUUAUUUUGUGUUUCUUUUGCCUGGAGUUUGUUGCACUUCUUGGAUCUGUGGGUUUAUAGUUUUGAUCACAUUUGGAAAAUGUUUUGGCUAUUAUUUCUUCAAAUAUUUAUUCUAUCCCUCCAUUUUUUUCUUCCUCUUUUGAGACUCCAGCUACACAUAUAUUAGGCUGCUUAAUGUUUUCCCACAGUGCAAUGAGAUCUGAUCAUUGAGAUCUGAUUUUUUUCAACCCAAUCUUUUGUAUUUCUGUGGUUCAUUUUGAUAAUUUCUAUUGCUAUGCCUUCAAGUUUAUUAAUCCUUUCUUUCUUUCUUUUCUUUUUUUUUUUCUUUUGAGACAGUCUCACACUGUCAUCGAGGCAGGAGUGCAGUGGCGCAAUCUUGGCUCACUGCAGCCUCUGCCUCCUGAGUUCAAGCAAUUCUGCUGCCUCAGCCUCCUGAGUAGCUGGGAUUACAGGUGCAGGCCACCACACCUGGCUAAUUUUUGUAUUUUUAGUAGAGACAGAGUUUUGCCAUGUUGGCCAGGCUGGUCUUGAACUCCUGAUCUCAGGUGAUCCACCCGCCUGGGCCUCCCAGAGUGCUGGGAUUACAGGCAUGAGCCAUCGUGCCAGGCCUUAAUCCUUUCUUUAGCAGUAUUUAAUCUGCUGUUAAUCCCCUCUAGUAUAUUGUCCAUCUUAGACAUUGUUUCUUUCUUCUUCUCUAGCUGUUUUGAGUCUUAAAAAUAUCUUACAUUCCUCUUCUUAUCAUGCUCAAACUUUCCAUUACCUUUUUGAAGAUAUGGAGUAUAGUUAGAAUAGCUGUUUUAAUGUUCUUAACUAACAAAUCCUAUAGUCUUUGUCACUUCUGGGUCUGUUUCUAUUGAUUGUUUUUUCUCCUUGUUAUAGGUUGUAUUUUCUUAUUUCUUCAAAAGCCUUCUAAUUUUUGGAUUCCAUUGUGCUGGAGUUUUCUUAUUUAAAUGUUUUGGGUUUUGUUCUGGGAUGCAGUUGUAUUACUUGGAAAUAGUUUGAAUGGUCAUUUCAAGGCUUACUUUGAAUCCUUUUUUUUUUUUCCCCUGAAAUGGAGUCUCACUCUGUCGCCCAGGCUGGAAUGCAGUGGUGCUCUCUGCUCACCACAACCUCCACUUCCUGGGUUCAAACAAUUCUCCUGCCUCAGCCUCCCAAGUAGCUGGGAUUACAGGUACCCACCACCACACUUGGCUAAUUUUUGUAUUUUUAGUAGAGAUGAGGUUUCACAAUGUUGGCCAGGCUGAUCCUGAACUCCUGACCUCAGGCAAUCCACCUGCCUUGGCCUCCCAAAGUGCUGGGAUUACAGGUGUAAACCAUUGCACCCAGCCUUUUUUUUUUUUUUUUUUGAGAUGGAGUCUUACUCUGUCGCUUAUGCUGGAGUGCAGUGGCGCAAUCUUGGCUCAUUGCAACCUCCGCCCCCUGGGUUCAAGCAAUUUCUCCUGCCUCAAUCUCCCGAGUAUCUGGGAUUACAGGUGCCUGCCACCGUGCCAGCUAAUUUUUGUACUUUUAGCAGAGACAGGGUUUCAUCAUCUUGGCCAGGCUGGUCUUGAACUCCUGACCUCAUGAUCCACCUGCCUUGGCCUCCCAAAGUGCUGGGAUUACAGGCAUGAACCACCGCUUCCGGCUGCCUUUUUUUUUUUUUUUCUUUGAGAUGGAGUCUCUCUCUGUCACCCAGGCUGGAGUGCAAUGGCACUAUCUAGGCUUACUGCAACUUCCGCCUCCCAGGUUCAAGCAAUUCUCCUGCCUCAGCCUACCGAGUAGCUGGGAUUACAGGCAUGUGCCACCAUGCCUGGCUAAUUUUUGUAUUUUUGGUAGAGACGGGGUUUUGCCAUGUUGGCCAGGCUGGUCUCGACCUCCUGACCUCAGGUGAUCUGCCCACCUCGGCCUCCCAAAGUUCUGGGAUUACAGGUGUGAGCCACCACGCCUGGCCUUGAAUCUUUGUAGGAAGGUCCAUUACAGCCUUUAAUAUGGGGCUUAUUUGGCUCAGCUACUGAAGCAAUACCUUCUCAAGACUCUACUCAAUGCCUUGCAUCUUAGGAGGUUUUUCCACUCGAUCUGGUUGGACCACAGUUUCUGGUCCUGUUUAAAUCCAAGUUUUGUUCUACUUGUUCUUCUCCAGUGCUUCUUUCUCAAAUCUUGGUCGUUUACUUCACGUACGUGUACUGAUGAUCAGAACCAGCUGAAGACUCAAGGAGAACACUUCUGAGCUCUUAUAUUAUGUAGUUCUCUCCUCUGAUUUUUACCAUGUAAAUUCUGAUGCCUUCACCUCCCAGAUCUUCAUACUGUUUGCUCAACUCAAAGAGGUGGUCAACAUCUGUUUGGGUUGCUCCUCCCUGUGCUGCAGCCUGGAAAUUCUACAGCAAUCAUAGGACUCACCUUUUUUUGUUUGCUUCUCUGAGAAAUCACUGUCCUGCACUGCCUCCUGUCUGAUAUCUGAAAACAAUUAACUAGUAUAUUUUUGUUCAGUUUUUUAAGUAUUUUAGGUGGGAGGUUAAUUCUGGUCCCUGUUACAUCAUCCUGGGUGGUAGCAGAAGUCACAGCAUAAAGUUUUUAUUUCCUAAUGUUUUCUUAGUUAUAUGGAUAAUUCAAAUGUUGAAUAAGAACCUAUUUUGCAUUUUAAUUUUUUCAAUCAUUUUAUAAGUUGGAGGAAUCUUUAAAAGUAGAAAAGCAAAAAAGGUGUAAAAUGAACAACUGACAAAUAAGAAAAUCAUGAUACUUUACCAAGAUGUUGUACUAGCUAAUUAUUAAGCAACUUAGGUAAUAUCUCAAAGGCUUUUAGAAAAUGUGUGUAAAAAAUUAUUUUAAUUCCUUAUAAUGUUUCUUUUUUCUUUCUUUCUUUUUUUUUUUUUGUUUUUUUGUUUGUUUGUUUGUUUGAGACAGAGUCUCACUCUGUCACCCAGGCUGGAGUGCAGUGGCGUGAUCUCUGCUCACUGCAACCUCCUCCUCUCGGGUUCAAGUGAUCCUUGUGCCUCAGCCUCCUGAGUAGCAGGAAUUACGGGCACCUACCACCACAUCAGGCUAAUUUUUGUAUUUUUAGUAGAGAAAGCGUUUCACCAUGUUGGCCAGGCUGAUCUCGAACUCCUGACCUCAGGUGAUCCGCCCGCCUCGGCUCCCAAAGUGCUGGGAUUACAGGCAUGAGCCACCGCACCUGGCCUAAAUGCUUAUUAUUUAUUUUUAUUUUUAUUUUUAUUUUUUGAGACGGAGGCUCGCUCUGUUGCCCAGGCUGGAGUGCAGUGGUGCAAUCUCGGCUCACUGCAACCUCCACCUCCUGAGUUCAAGCGAUUCUCCUGCCUCAGCCUCCCAAGUAGCUGGGAUUACAGGCACUCACCACCACGCCCAGCUCUUUUUUAUUUUUAUAUUUUUUUAAGUAGAGAUGGGGUUUUACCAUUUGGCCAGGCUGGUCUUGAACUCCUGACCUCGAGUGAUCCACCUGCCUCGGCCUUCCAAAGUGGUGGGGUUACAGGUGGGAGACACCACACACCCAAACACUUACUAUAUUUCUACUUAACGGCUUCAAGUCUUAAACAGAUUCCAGGACUAGCAACAUUUUGAAAACUCACUGUUCCACUGCAGUUUUGCUCUUAAGUAAAAUUUGAAAAAUUUGCUUUUAAAUAUGGGAGAUACUGAGCAUAAUAUUUAAUUUUUUUUUCUGAGACAGAGUCUCACUCUGUCACCCAGGCUGGAGUGCAGUGGCAUGAUCCCAGCUCACUGCAACCUCUGCCUGCCAGGUCCAAGUGAUUCUCCUGCCUUGGCCCCCCAAAUAGUUGGGAUUACAGGCAUGCACCACCAUGCCUGGCUAAUUUUGUAUUUUUAGUAGAGAUGGGGUUUCACCAUGUUAGCCAGGCUGGUCUCGAACUCCCGACCUCAGGCUAUCUGCCUGCCUCAGCCUCCCAAAGUACUGGGAUUACAGGCAUGAGCAACCCCGCCCAGCCAAAAUUUAAUUUUCAAGUGGCCAGUAGUUACUCCAAUGAAGCCAAAAAUAAUUAGUAUCAUUUUCCAGCCCAAGUUGCAGAAUGACUGAACAUAGAAGGCAUCUCAGAAAAAAAAAUUUUUUUUAAUCACUGGACACUUUAUUGAAAGCAAAGCAAGAUUUAGCAUCUUUGCCUUCGUUGUACACAGCUGAAGCGGAAGCCCAGGGAGAUGAGGACUGCAUGGUUUUCCUUGGCGUGGGAGGUGUGCACCCUUCAGUCCUCUCAUUUGUGGGAAGAUCAGCCCAUGCUCUGUUGGCUGCCAUAGUCCCUAGGAUGGAUGCCCUUCCAGUCAUCCCACUCCCGAACUCUGUAGAGUGUUUGUUCAUCAUCCUCUUCCUCCUUUUCUUCUUGACCUUCCUGUUGCUGAGCUGCUUUUCUGAAUUCCUCUGGUGUUGCCUUGGCUAUUCCCUGAUCUGGUAAUGCUCCAUAUUUCCAAUGUUGCUUAUACCAGUCACUCACCGUCAUAGUUGCCAGACUUGGAUAACCAGCUCCAAAUACUUUGACUUGGGCCAUGUUCCGAGUGAGAAUGAAGGGUUUCACUGGAGGCCUCUCCUGGCGAGAUGAAUUAGAAGUUGAUGCCUCUCUUGAAGAGUCUCUUUCUCUCAGGAUCUUUAUUUCCUGGUCAAUGCUCUCAAUCUCUUCUAAGCUGAUAUCAGUUCACCUCUGAAGGUGAAGAAGAUAAUAUUCACGAACACGCUCAUCAUCUGCUUGACCAGUUUCCACAGCAGAUUUGAUUGCAGACAACCUGUGCUCCAACUCCUUCUGCUUGUGUCUCUCUCUUUUAGCCUGUCUUUGAGAUGCCAUAGCAAUGAGGCUAGGAUAAGCCAUGGAGAAAUUAGCAGUGUGAUUUUUCAGCUGAGUUCUUGGUUUUCGGCAGCUCAAGCUCUGCCACCUGAUAGCAAUGGCACAGUUAAUUAGUUUAUAGUGCUCUUGAGCCCACUGCAAAUGAUCUAGACGCUUGCUGGGCUUGACUUGUUUCAUGGUGAAGGCUCCUUGAAACACUGGCACCAACAGGUACUUCAGGUCGGUGGAAGCAAUCACUUCCAAAUCUUCAUUUUAGCUGAACAAGUCAAGCUGCGAUAACAUUUCGGCAGCCUUCUCAAGGAGGUCCAGGCCCUUGAACACCUUCUUCUGGACUAUCCGGGAACCGGCAGGUUCAGUCACUACUUCUACAUCAUCCAGAAGCUGUUUGCUGGUUUCAAACAGCUCGGGGAGCUGUGGCAGCAGUAAUUUGUCUUCAGCAGCCAUCUUGGAGAGGGACAAACAAGAAAUUAUUUUUAAAGGAAAACUUUCAAAGUGAAAAGAGAAAUAUAUCUUCUCCUGGGAGUACUAAAAGAAAACCUCACCUCAGAUGAGUUAUCUCACAAUUUCCGAACAAAAAUAAUCACCUUUGGGCCAAGAAGAGGUGUGGAAAGUUUCAAACACAGUUUUUAUAAAGGGGGUACAACUGAAAAGGGGUUUUAACACAACCACCUCUCUCGCAGGCUUAUUAGAUCCUGAUCACCUAAGAGUUUCUUGUCAGCACUCCUGUCAAAUGGAUGAAAUGCGCCCGGAAGGCUACCUCUGACAAAAGGGAAGGCACAGCAGAAAUGUUACUGUGUAAGGGUGCCAGUGGGUACAGAUGUGGUUAUCAUCUUCCACUAAUCAUCUAAGAACAAAGCAUCUUUUGCUCCUUUGGGGGGCUAAAUGGGAUGGUUACUAAGUGGGAAGGAUGUGCUUUCCUAAUACAGCAGCAUAAUAAUUGUUCUAAAAGAUUUUAACCCUGGCUGGGCACAGUGGCUCACGCCUGUAAUCCCAGCACUUUGGGAGGCUGAGGCGGGCGGAUCAUGAGGUCAAGAGAUUGAGACCAUCCUGGCCAACACGAUGAAACCCCAUCUCUACUAAAAAUACAAAAAAAUUAGCCGGGCGUGGUGGUGGGCGCCUGUAGUCCCAGCCACUCAGGAGGCUGAGGCAGGAGAAUCGCUUGAACCCGGGAGGCGAAGGUUGCAGUGAGCCGAGAUUGUGCUGCACUCCAGCCUGGGCAACAGAGUGAGACUCUGUCUCAAAGAAAAAAAAGGGCAGGGGGUGUCAGGCAUGGUGGCUCACGUCUGUAAUCCCAGCACUUUGGGAGGCCGAGGCAGGCGGAUCAAGAGAUCAAGACCAUCCUGGCCAACAUGGUGAAACCUCAUCUCUACUAAAAAUACAAAAAUUAGCUGGGUGUGGUGGUGCGCACUUAUAAUCCCAGCUACUAGGGUAGCUGAGGCAGGAGAAUCACUUGAACCUGGGAGGCAGAGGCUGCAGUGAGCUUAGAUUGCACCACUGCACUCCAGCCUGGCGACAGAGCAAGACUUCAUCUCAAAAAAAAAAAAAAAAAAGUAUAAAAACCUCAACAAUUAUAAUUUAUCUGAUCUUAUUAUGUAAAGGGGCUCUUGAGAACAGCAAGUUUAUCUCAAUAUGGUAUAUUCAGAAUAGUCAAAUAUAGUUUUUUGUUUGUUUUUGAGACACAGUCUCACUGUUGCCCAGGCUAUAGUGUGGUGGUGCAUUCCUCAGCCUCCUGAGUAGCUAGGGCUUCAGACACGUGCCCCCAUGCCCAGCUGAUUUUUCAAUUUUAUAUAGAGAUGAGGUCUCCCUGUGUUGCCAAGGCUGGUCUCAAAUUUCUGGGCUCAAGGGAUCCUCCUGCCUCAGCCCCCCAAAGUGCUGGGAUUGCAGGCGUGAGCCACAAAACCCAGCCACCGCCCUGGUCUUUCAAAGCACUGGGAUUACAGGUGAGCCUUAAUUUAGAGAUAGUAUUUCCCUUCAGAGCAGAUAUCAGACUUGUUUACUUUCCUGUAUAAUAAAGUUAAUGUCUCCCUCCAGAGCAAAGACCUUGCAGGUUUAAAAGUUGUCAUUCAGAACUAAGGGGAGUUCCGUGGCGCCUCUGGCCUGGCCUCCCCUUUCUUGUCUGACUCGAGACACCAACUGAGUUCCUGUUUCUAGUAGCUAAGCUCCCACCGUCGGGGAGGAAUCAGGGACUGUGCAGUCCCUGUGAAUCCCAUCCAGGUCAGUUCUAGAUUCUAAACUGAAUUUUUUUCAUGAUAUUGUCAAAACAGUGAGGAAACGUUUUGUAAAGAAGCCCUAAAGAAAAAAAAAGUCAUUGAGCCUUCCUAAACAAUUUUCUCUUAAUAUAUGUAUUCUAAGACUUUUUAAUGUAUAUACUAUAUUAGAAAUCCAAUUCUCUUGUAGAUGUCUCUUUUUUUUAAUAAAAACUUUUUUUUUUUCACAUUUUCCUGCCUCUAUCUAGUAUGUGGAACUUAACUGAACUUAGAAGGGACUUCAGAACUAUUUAUUUAUUUAUUUAUUGAGACAGAGUUUUGCUCUUGUUGCUCAGGCUGGAGUGCAAUGGCUCAAUCUCAGCUCACCGCAACCUCUGCCUCCCGGGUUCAAGCGAUUCUCCUGAGUAGCUGGGAUUACAGGCAAGCAUCACCACGCCCGGUUAAUUUUUUGUAUUUUUAGUAGAGACAGGGUUUCUCCAUGUUGGUCAGGCUGGUCUCGAACUCCUGACCUCAGGUGAUCUGCCUGCCUCGGCCUCCCAAAGUGCUGGGAUUACAGGCACAAGCCACCACACCCAGCCCUGUAGAUUUCUCAUUGAGGGCACAAACAUUUAUUUCCAUCUCCUGUGUAACUAUUCAUAAACUUAAAGAUGAUUACUAAAGCAACUUUCACCUUCCUCAGGUUAAAUAAGCAAUGUGCCUUUAAACUUUCCACAUAAAUUCUGUUUUCUAAUUUUUGUUGUUGUUGUUGUUGCUAUUUUGUGUUUUCUAAUUUUUAAUCCUUUGGUUAAUCAUGCCUCUGGAUUUUUUCCCAUUUUCUUCAUCUCUUGAAUUUAGAGCCCAGGAUCUGAUACAAUACCCUAGUAAAGGGUUAAUUCCUAUUGCAUAGAUUUUCGAUACCUGCCACAGACUUGAGGGCAGGUUGAGGGCAGAUACUGUUUUAUACUUUUCUAGUAUCAGUAACUUUCUAGCAUAUGUAGGUGCUCAGUAAAUUCUUACUGAUUGAUUGGUGUAUCCCAGAAUUGUUUUUGAGUUGUAAAUCACAGUACCACUUUGCUGAUUCAUGUUUAAUGUUUGCUUCACUAUAAAAAUUGUUUGUAAAGUAAAAAACAGCAAGGAACUCUACAAGUGGUGAACAAUGGCUAUAAAUCAUAGAACCAUCUUUGUUUUUGUGAAAAGUAUUCUUACUUCAAUUAGCAGUCUUUCUAUUCCCGACCACCUAUCCCAAAGGAAUCAUCAUCAAUAAUGCCAUCUCUGCAUACAAAAGAUAUUCUUUAAUUACGAUGCUUAGCUGAGUUAGCAUUUUUACUUUUUUUCCUUUUUCUAUUCUUUUUUUUUUUUUUUUUUUUUUUUUUUUUUUUUUUUUUUUGAGACGGAGUCUCGCUCUGUCUCCCAGGCUGGAGUGCAGUGGCGCGAUCUCUGCUCGCUGCAAGCUCCGCCUCCCGGGUUCACGCCAUUCUCCUGCCUCAGCCUCCCGAGUAGCUGGGACUACCGGCACCCGCCACCACGCCCAGCUAAUUUUUUUUUAAUUUUUAGUAGAAACAGGGUUUCUCCGUGUUAGCCAGGAUGGUCUCGAUCUCUUGACCUCGUGAUCCGCCCACCUCGGCCUCCCAAAGUGCUAGGAUUACAGGCGUGAGCCACCGUGCCCGGCCUAUUCUUUUUUUUUUUUUUUUUUUUUUUUUUUAGUAGCACUUGUUGUUGAAGCAUUUUUACUUUUUGUAUUUCCUUCUUUCUGAGUUACUGUGGUAGGCUGCAUCUAAAAUGACUCCUAAGCACCGUACCUUCUGGUUUUCACAUCCUUGUGUAAUUUCCUCCUCUUGUGCUUGGGCCGGACCUAAUGACCUCUUUCAAAAGAAUAGAAUAUGGCAAAGUGACAGAAUGUCACAUCUGAGAUUAGGUUACAAAAGACUGUGACUUUCAUCUUCCUCUCUCUCUUGCGCUCUCACUUGCUCAUUCCAAUGUAGGAAAUUGCCAUGUUGCAAUUUCCAAAGGAUAGGUCACAAUCCAAAGGAUAGGUCCAUAUGGCAGAAAAACGGAGGGUAGCCUCUAGUCAACAGCCAGUGAGGAACGGAGGCCCUGAGUGCAACACCCUGAUAGGGACUAAGUCCUACCAACAUCAACACCUAGUCAAGCCUUAAGAUGACUGCAGCACCCGCUCAACACCUUUUAUACAGCCUUAUGAGAAACCCAGAGCCAAGAGACCCAACUAAGCUUUGCCUAGCUUCCUUACUCAUAGACUCUGUAAGAAAAUAAUUGUUUAUUGCUUUAAGGCACCAAGUUUGGGGGUAAUUUUUCAUACAGCAAGAGAUAACUAAUAUAGAUUCUGUUUGAUAAAUAUUAACUUACACCUAACUCAGAUUUCACUCAAAGAAAUUAAUAUGCAUGUGAGAAGAUAUAUUCUUUACCCAGCCACGGGAGGUAUUGCCUAGGAAAAACUUAGAUAGUUGCCAACCGAUUGUAUCAUAAUCUCACUUCUGAGUUUAGAAAUUAAUAUUAAAGGACUGUAGUUUCCAGUCAGACUUUUCCAUUUAAAAACCAUGAGCUUCUAUUUUUACAAGUCAUAGGUACUUAAUUAGUUCUCCACUAUUCUGUAAAAUAAUACACUCCUAGUUCUGUGAUAACUCUGGUCAAUUCUAGAAAUAAGUAUUCGUUAGUACAAAUUACCAGAGCCUGUGGAUUUGAAUGUAUCAAUCUGUUUUAUUAAGCAGGCCCCAUUUUGUGAAACUCAGCUGGAAAACGACAGUCAACCUGACAAUUCUCAUAGAUAGUUAAUUUAAGAAAUUCUUCUUCUUCUUCUUCUUUUUUUUUUUUUUUUUUUUUGAUAGAGGGUCUUACUCUAUUGCCCAGGCUGGAGUGCAGCGGCACAAUCAUGUCUCACUGCAGCCUCAGCCUCCGGAAUAGCUGGGACUGCAGGUGCACACCACGAUGCCCAGCUAAUUUUUUUUUUUUUUUUUUUUUUUGAGACGGAGUGUCGCUCUGUCGCCCAGAGUGGAGUACAGUGGCUCCAUCUCGGUUCACUGCAAGCUCCACCCGCUGGGCUCACGCCAUUCUCCUGCCUCAGCCUCCCGAGUAGCUGGGAAUACAGGCGCCUGCCACUACGCCCAGCUAAUUUUUGUAUAUUUAGUAGAGACGGGGUUUCACCGUGUUAGCCAGGAUGGUCUCGAUCUCCUGACCUCGUGAUCCACCUGCCUCGGCCU